rnacentral:lncRNA from 1 species
AACGAGGUGCCAGAUGACUCCACCUCCUGCCCUGCCUUUCUGUUUAAUGCAGUGUUUCCCUCUUGUCACCCAGGCUGGAGUGCAAUGGUGCAAUCUUGGCUUAUUGCAACAUCUGCCUCCUCGGUUCAAGCAAUUGUCCUGCCGCAGAGUCCCCAGGAGCUGAAGUUGCAGGUGUCCAGGCCACCAUGUCCAGCUAACUUUCUGGUGGAGGGCAAAGGUGUGAUCUUGGCUUGUUGCAACAUCUGCCUCCCUGGUUCAAGUGAUUGUCCUGCCACAGCCUCCCAAGUAGCUGGGGUGCAAGUGUCCACACCACCACGUCCAGGUUUCACCAUGUUCGUCGGGCCGGUCUCGAACACACAACCUCGGGUGAUCCACCCACCUUGGUCUUCAAAGCGCUUGGAUGACAGGUUCACGUGAGCAGCCAUGCCCGAACGGCCAACUUUAUUGUUAUAAAAGAAAUCACAGAGACUGCUCCAGGUGCUGUAACCCACGCCAGAAAUCCUAGCAAUUUGGGAGGCCGAGGUGGGAGGGUCACCUGAGGUCAGGAGUUCGAGGUCAGCCUGGGCAUCCAGGGGAAAACCCACCUCAUUUAAAAAAAGAGAAAAAGAAAAAGAAAAAGAAUCAGACAGAUCAGUGCAUACAAUUGUAAAAAACGAGGCGCCAGAUAACUCCACCUC